GAUGAACGCUGGCGGCGUGCCUAACACACGCAAGUCGAACGAGGUAUUUUGAUUGAAGUUUUCGGAUGGAUUUCAAGAUACCGAGUGGCGGACGGGUGAGUAACGCGUGGGUAACCUGCCUCAUACAGGGGGAUAACGGUUAGAAAUGACUGCUAAUACCGCAUAAGCGCACAGUACCGCAUGGUACGGUGUGAAAAACUCCGGUGGUAUGAGAUGGACCCGCGUCUGAUUAGCUAGUUGGUGGGGUAACGGCCCACCAAGGCGACGAUCAGUAGCCGACCUGAGAGGGUGAUCGGCCACAUUGGGACUGAGACACGGCCCAGACUCCUACGGGAGGCAGCAGUGGGGGAUAUUGCACAAUGGAGGAAACUCUGAUGCAGCGACGCCGCGUGAGUGAAGAAGUAUUUCGGUAUGUAAAGCUCUAUCAGCAGGGAAGAAAAUGACGGUACCUGACUAAGAAGCCCCGGCUAACUACGUGCCAGCCGCCGCCGUAA
rnacentral:rRNA from 1 species